GGUUAAGCGACUAAGCGUACACGGUGGAUGCCCGGCAGUCAGAGGCGAUGAAGGACGUGCUAAUCUGCGAAAAGCGUCGGUAAGGUGAUAUGAACCGUUACAGCCGGCGAUGUCCGAAUGGGGAAACCCAGUGCAAUUCGUUGCACUAUCGUUAACUGAAUACAUAGGUUAACGAGGCGAACCGGGGGAACUGAAACAUCUAAGUACCCCGAGGAAAAGAAAUCAACCGAGAUUCCCCCAGUAGCGGCGAGCGAACGGGGAGCAGCCCAGAGUCUGAAUCAGCUUGUGUGUUAGUGGAACGGUCUGGAAAGUCCGACGGUACAGGGUGAUAGUCCCGUACACCAAAAUGCACAGGUUGUGAACUCGAAGAGUAGGGCGGGACACGUGGUAUCCUGUCUGAAUAUGGGGGACCAUCCUCCAAGGCUAAAUACUCCUGACUGACCGAUAGUGAACCAGUACCGUGAGGGAAAGGCGAAAAGAACCCCGGCGAGGGGAGUGAAAAAGAACCUGAAACCGUGUACGUACAAGCAGUGGGAGCACCUUCGGGUGUGACUGCGUACCUUUUGUAUAAUGGGUCAGCGACUUAUAUUCUGUAGCAAGGUUAACCGUAUAGGGGAGCCGCAGGGAAACCGAGUCUUAACUGGGCGUUAAGUUGCAGGGUAUAGACCCGAAACCCGGUGAUCUAGCCAUGGGCAGGUUGAAGGUUGGGUAACACUAACUGGAGGACCGAACCGACUAAUGUUGAAAAAUUAGCGGAUGACUUGUGGCUGGGGGUGAAAGGCCAAUCAAACCGGGAGAUAGCUGGUUCUCCCCGAAAGCUAUUUAGGUAGCGCCUCGUGAACUCAUCUUCGGGGGUAGAGCACUGUUUCGGCUAGGGGGUCAUCCCGACUUACCAACCCGAUGCAAACUACGAAUACCGAAGAAUGUUAUCACGGGAGACACACGGCGGGUGCUAACGUCCGUCGUGAAGAGGGAAACAACCCAGACCGCCAGCUAAGGUCCCAAAGUCAUGGUUAAGUGGGAAACGAUGUGGGAAGGCACAGACAGCCGGGAUGUUGGCUUAGAAGCAGCCAUCAUUUAAAGAAAGCGUAAUAGCUCACUGGUCGAGUCGGCCUGCGCGGAAGAUGUAACGGGGCUAAACCAUGCACCGAAGCUGCGGCAGCGACACUAUGUGUUGUUGGGUAGGGGAGCGUUCUGUAAGCCUGCGAAGGUGUGCUGUGAGGCAUGCUGGAGGUAUCAGAAGUGCGAAUGCUGACAUAAGUAACGAUAAAGCGGGUGAAAAGCCCGCUCGCCGGAAGACCAAGGGUUCCUGUCCAACGUUAAUCGGGGCAGGGUGAGUCGACCCCUAAGGCGAGGCCGAAAGGCGUAGUCGAUGGGAAACAGGUUAAUAUUCCUGUACUUGGUGUUACUGCGAAGGGGGGGACGGAGAAGGCUAUGUUAGCCGGGCGACGGUUGUCCCGGUUUAAGCAUGUAGGCUGAUUGUCCGAGGCAAAUCCGGAUAAUCAAGGCUGAGGUGUGAUGACGAGGCACUACGGUGCUGAAGUAACAAAUGCCCUGCUUCCGAGGAAAAGCCUCUAAGCAUCAGGUAACAUUAAAUCGUACCCCAAACCGACACAGGUGGUCAGGUAGAGAAUACCAAGGCGCUUGAGAGAACUCGGGUGAAGGAACUAGGCAAAAUGGUGCCGUAACUUCGGGAGAAGGCACGCUGGUGUGUAGGUGAAGUCCCUGCGGAUGGAGCUGAGACCAGUCGAAGAUACCAGCUGGCUGCAACUGUUUAUUAAAAACACAGCACUGUGCAAACACGAAAGUGGACGUAUACGGUGUGACGCCUGCCCGGUGCCGGAAGGUUAAUUGAUGGGGUUAUCCGUAAGGAGAAGCUCUUGAUCGAAGCCCCGGUAAACGGCGGCCGUAACUAUAACGGUCCUAAGGUAGCGAAAUUCCUUGUCGGGUAAGUUCCGACCUGCACGAAUGGCGUAAUGAUGGCCGGGGCUGUCUCCACCCGAGACUCAGUGAAAUUGAACUCGCUGUGAAGAUGCAGUGUACCCGCGGCAAGACGGAAAGACCCCGUGAACCUUUACUAUAGCUUGACACUGAACAUUGAGCCUUGAUGUGUAGGAUAGGUGGGAGGCUUUGAAGCGUGGACGCCAGUCUGCGUGGAGCCAACCUUGAAAUACCACCCUUUAAUGUUUGAUGUUCUAACGUUGGCCCCUGACCGGGGUUGCGGACAGUGUCUGGUGGGUAGUUUGACUGGGGCGGUCUCCUCCCAAAGCGUAACGGAGGAGCACGAAGGUUAGCUAAUCCCCGGUCGGACAUCAGGAGGUUAGUGCAAUGGCAUAAGCUAGCUUGACUGCGAGCGUGACGGCGCGAGCAGGUGCGAAAAGCAGGUCAUAGUGAUCCGGUGGUUCUGAAUGGAAGGGCCAUCGCUCAACGGAUAAAAGGUACUCCGGGGAUAACAGGCUGAUACCGCCCAAGAGUUCAUAUCGACGGCGGUGUUUGGCACCUCGAUGUCGGCUCAUCACAUCCCCGGGGCUGAAGUAGGUCCCAAGGGUAUGGCUGUUCGCCAUUUAAAGUGGUACGCGAGCUGGGUUUAGAACGUCGUGAGACAGUUCGGUCCCUAUCUGCCGUGGGCGCUGGAGAAUUGAGGGGGGCUGCUCCUAGUACGAGAGGACCGGAGUGGACGCAUCACUGGUGUUCGGGUUGUCAUGCCAAUGGCACUGCCCGGUAGCUAAAUGCGGAAGAGAUAAGUGCUGAAAGCAUCUAAGCACGAAACUUGCCCCGAGAUGAGUUCUCCCUGAGACUUUAAGUCUCCUGAAGGAACGUUAAAGACGAUGACGUUGAUAGGCCGGGUGUGUAAGCGCAGCGAUGCGUUGAGCUAACCGGUACUAAUGAACCGUGAGGCUUAACCUU
rnacentral:rRNA from 1 species